rnacentral:rRNA from 1 species
AGUGAACGCUGGCGGUAGGCCUAACACAUGCAAGUCGAACGGCAGCACAGUAAUAGCUAGCUCUUACGGGUGGCGAGUGGCGGACGGGUGAGGAAUACAUCGGCAUCUACUUUUUCGAGGGGGAUAACGUGGGGAAACUUACGCUAAUACCGCAUACGACCUACGGUUGAAAGCAGGGGAUAUUCAGACCUUGCGCGAUUGAAUGAGCCGAUGUCGGAUUAGCUAGUUGGCAGGGCAAAGGCCCACCAAGGAGUCGAUCCGUAGCUGGUCUGAGAGGAUGAUCAGCCACACUGGAGCGGGGACACGGCCCAGACUCCUACGGGAGGCAGCAGUGGGGAAUACUGGAGGAUGGGCGCAAGCCUGAUCCAGCCAUACCGCGUGGGUGAAGAAGGCCUUCGGGUUGUACAGCCCUGUUGUUGGGAAAGAAAAGCAGCAGGUUAAGACCCCGAUGUUCUGACGGUACCCAAAGAAUAAGCACCGGCUAACUUCGUG